GACUACACGGGUAUCUAAUCCCGUUUGCUACCCACGCUUUCGUGCCUUAGUGUCAGGGACGAGCCAGUUACCUGCCUACGCCAUCGGUAUUCCUCCUAAUAUCUACGGAUUUCACUCCUACACUAGGAAUUCUAGUAACCUCUCUCGCCCUCUAGCUGAGCAGUUUCUGUAAUGUGUAUAUGGUUGAGCCACACGCUUUCACUACAGACAUACUCUGCCACCUACGCAACUCUUUACGCCCAGUAAUUCCGGAUAACGCUUGGAUCCUCCGUAUGACCGCGGCUGCUGGCACGGAGUUAGCCGAUCCUUAUUCAUCUGCUACCGUCAUAUUCGUCACAGAUAAAAGCAGUUUACAACCCGAAGGCCUUCAUCCUGCACGCGGCGUUGCUCCAUCAGACUUUCGUCCAUUGUGGAAAAUUCCCUACUGCAGCCCCCCGUAGG
rnacentral:rRNA from 1 species